UACGUAGGGCGCAAGCGUUGUCCGGAAUUAUUGGGCGUAAAGAGCUCGUAGGCGGCCUGUUACGUCUGCUGUGAAAUCCCGGGGCUUAACCCCGGGCGUGCAGUGGAUACGGGCAGGCUGGAGGCAGGCAGGGGAGAACGGAAUUCCCGGUGUAGCGGUGAAAUGCGCAGAUAUCGGGAGGAACACCAGUGGCGAAGGCGGCGACCUGGACGGACACUGACGCUGAGACGCGAAAGCGUGGGGAGCAAACAGG
rnacentral:rRNA from 1 species